rnacentral:rRNA from 1 species
UACGUAGGGUGCAAGCGUUGUCCGGAAUUAUUGGGCGUAAAGAGCUCGUAGGCGGCUUGUCGCGUCGGCUGUGAAAGCCCCGGGCUCAACCCCGGGCCUGCAGUCGAUACGGGCAGGCUAGAGUCCGGCAGGGGAGACUGGAAUUCCUGGUGUAGCGGUGAAAUGCGCAGAUAUCAGGAGGAACACCGGUGGCGAAGGCGGGUCUCUGGGCCGGAACUGACGCUAAGGAGCGAAAGCGUGGGGAGCGAACAGG